ACGUGUUCUUUCCCAUCUGGCGGCCGCGGCUCCUGUCCUGACCCUGACCCUCCCUCCCGAGGCUCAGCCGUCCCCCAACAACCCCCAGCCUUGUACUGAUGUCGGAUGCGAGAGCCUGUGCUUAAGUAAGAAUCAGGCCUUAUUGGAGACAUUCAAGCAAAGGUUGGACAACUACUUUUCCAGAACAGAAAGGAAACUCAUGCAUCAGAAAAGAGAGGGUCUGUCACCCAGGCUGGAGUGCAGUGGCACAAUCUUAGCUCACUGCAGCCUCCGCCUCCUGGGCUCAAUCCAUCCUCCUACCUCAGCCUCUCGAGUAGCUG
rnacentral:lncRNA from 1 species